rnacentral:rRNA from 1 species
UACGGGUGGGGCGAGUGUUAUUCAUCAGUAUUAGGCGUAAAGCGCACGUAGGCGGCUUGGUAUGUCGGGUGUGAAAUCCCCGGGCUCAACCUGGGAACUGCAUCCGAAACUGCCUUGCUCGAGUAUGGGAGAGGGAAGUGGAAUUUCCGGUGUAGCGGUGAAAUGCGUAGAUAUCGGAAGGAACAUCAGUGGCGAAGGCGACUUCCUGGACCAAUACUGACGCUCAGGUGCGAAAGCGUGGGGAGCAAACAGG